rnacentral:lncRNA from 1 species
AUGUCAAAAUUAAGGAGGGUUUUUGAAAUCAUAGAUCGAUAGUAUUAUCGAUUCUAAGUUAUUUCUGAAAUUAUUGCAAAUUUACGAAAAUUAACCCUGUAUACCUGGUGAAAUUAUAGUAGUAGAUGAGUCGAUGGUCACAUUUCACGGAAAGUUGAUUAUUAGAACCUACAAUCCCGCCAAAGCUGACCACUACGGUAUGAAAAUUUACAAAGCAUGUACUGUAAACAGUUAUACGUGGUCCCCAGAUUUAUUCUGGGGUAUCGGAACAAUUAGAAGGCUUAGACAAACCGCUUCUCAAUGAAGGUCGUCUUAGUGUCGCCGACAAUUAUUAUACAAGCCUUCCGCUGGCAAUGUACCUAAAAGAACGGAGAACGGACCUGUGCUGUACCUUACGCAAAAAUAAAAGACAAGACACCUUCCAACCGACGUUGUUGUGAGAGCAGUGUGCAAGGCAAAAAUGGCGCGAUAAACGUGACGUUCUAAUGAUCUCUACUUGUCACGGAGAUGGCACGUCACAGGUGACUACAAAGAGAGGCGAUGUCAUAAAACCUAAUGUUAUAAUAGAUUACAAUGAGGCAAAAAAAGGUAUAGAUAUUUCCGACUAACUUGCAUCGUUUCACUCGUCUUUACGGAAAUGCCUAACCUGGUACAAAAAAAUAGCCGUUGAUAUUCUAUUUCAAGUUGCCGUUAUAAAUUCUAGGUGCAUUCACAAUGAGUUGGCGUCAGAACAUCAGAAAUUGACUGUUUUGCAAGUCCAAGAACAAUUACUUCGAUAUUUCCUCGGGCCAGCAGCGACAAUUACAGAAUCUAAUGUGCCCCAAAGACCUUCGCUCUCUCUGACUUCCGGAUCUUCAAGUUCCUCUCUUUCUUUUAAUCACAGUCUUCAAGAAAUGCCGCGUAAUAAUGUAAAAAAUAUAUUAGUUCGAAAAAGAUGCUCCGGUUGCUAUGCCAAACUAAAAAGUCUAGGGCAAUUAGCUCGUAAAACCAAACAAGUGCACACAGAGUGCAAAGCAUGCAAAAAAACCAUUUUGUUCAGAUUGCUACAAUGAAAAACACGUUUUAUUAUUUAGUCUUUGUAAUAUUUUCGCUAAUAAAACCUUUUUAAUGUCUUUUACUUUUGUUUUAUUUCAUUCAAACACAAAAUCUUAUCCUUUACGAAUACCUACUCAUCAUGAUUAUUAUUACCCUCAAUUAAAAAAACGAUUUUUUUUUUCACUUCAUUAAAUUUAAGGUUUUUUGCUAUAAGUUCACGUAUUUAUUAUUGGUACAAUAUGCCACGUUCACAACAAAAAUACAGCCCCAAGUUGCAGCAACAAAUGACUCAUAUAUGACUUCUUAACUUAUCUCAAAAGGUCAUCAUGAGUCACAUAUGACUCAUUGGACAGUGAAGUUGUUAAUUUAGAAUUAAUAAAUUUCCCUGAGCAGAGAUAAAACAGCAAAGAAGGGGGAGGGAAAAUAGACUUACCAAGGUUAAAGCGAGGGAGUGCAGUUCUUGCAAGUCUCUUACUAUUAGGAUAAAAAAAGUAUCUUCAAAAUGACGAUUGCAGAUUCGAUCAUUUGUAUAUACAGUAUGUUUUAAAAAUACCAUCCGCUAGAAAAGAUGCGUGUAAGGAUUCUAAUAUUAUAAACAGAAAAAAUAACAAAAAAAAUAUUAUUCAAUAAUUAAGCAUUUUUUUCUAAUAUAAGACAUAAUUUUCCCAAAACUGGGAAAAUUUAAAAAGCGACAACAUUGUUAAUAAUGAUGGUAUUAAGGUAUUCCUAUGCUGUUACCUAUUGCCUACACUGCUGUAUAAAAGUCGGCAAUUGUUAAAGCCUUUAUAACGCCGCCGUGCUUACCGCAAAAAGGAUACCGGUGCUGGCGGCGCGUGUUUGCGCAGUAAACCUAUACCUAGUUCUCGAAAUUUGGUCAAUAAAAUUUAAUUAAUCAGUUUUGCGCGAUAAUUGCAUACGAGUGGUAGUUUUCUUUAAGCCCUGCAAAAAAUGUCAUUUUCUAAUCGAGAAUAUUUUAAUAUGCUGAUGUGUCUAGGUCGAAGUGAUUGCAAUUAUGCAGCAGCUCGAAGAGAGUACGAGAUGCGAUUUGCGAUUCCGCAAGGUACGUCGGUACCUUCGGCGCGUGCAUUUCAACGUUUACACCAUCGGUUGUAUGCAACGGGUAGUGUGCAUGGGCGUAGUAACCCUGAUGGAGGUAGAGCGCGAGUGGUGGACGAAACCUUUUACAGGCAAAUGAUGCUUAUCACGUACGCCUGAGGUUAAUGAACAUAGGCAGGUAAUUUGUGUGUUCUUUGCAUGCCCUUUGAAGUGUGGCUGCAAUUUUGGGCGAUAGUGUUCCAUUUACCUUAAAAUUAGGUCACACACAAUAUCACAACACGCAAGUAAUACAAGCAUUCAUAACAAGAUGUCAAAACAAUUAGGCAAGCACAUUACACCUUGUGUACUUGCCUAUUCAAUACUGCUUUGAAUGUAAUCGUGUAAACAAAGCACAAAACAGAAUGCACACUACCUUUUUUGAUUUUCUAUUAAUGCCUAUUAUUUUUAUUGGUAAACCUAACCUACCUCACCUUCUGUGUUGCCAUACAGGUUUUUGUAAUUUAGUAUUUUUUAUUUUAAAAUGCAGGGAAAAAAAUAUAUUUAUUUUGAAAUAAAAACUGCAUAAAUAGAACCUAUACACGAUACCUAAGUACACCCUAAAGGAUCGGACGGUGUUUCCACCAACAUACUGUAUAUCUUCAUCAGUUUUGCCUGCUAUGCACCUUCCUGCUCUGUCUUUUCGUAGUUUUAACAUCUAUACAGUGGUUGGACCAGGUUUUGGAAAGCGGUGCAAAACAUCUGAAAUGUUAAUUUUGGUUGUACACAUAAUUUGUAAAGGUAUUAAGUCACCUUAAAAGUUAGAUAGUUUUAUUUGUACAUUUACUUAAACUAAGUAAAUAACACUUUGACUGACAGAUAGCUUAAACAAAAAGUAGUAAAAAUAAAUAAUGAUUAUUUCUGUUAAAAUCCUUAAGCUUGUGAAAUACACAGGGAAAGCAUGUAUCACAAUCAUGUUAAGUAUAUUUUAGAUAUUACAAAAUUAAAUAAAAGUAAUGUAACGUCGUGGAUUUUAAUUUUGGUGGUCAAAUUUGGAACCUCUAGGUUUGUUUCGAAAGGCAGCGACAUCGAUGAAUGUCGUAGAGAUUACGAGGUUCGCUGCUAGAUGGCGCUUAUAUUAAAGUGCUCAGACAAAUAAAUAUGGACAAGUAGUUGGAGCUUUAUAAUCUGUAUAUAGACUUAAUAUAUGGUUAGAGGUAUUCCACAAGUAACGAAAGGUAUGGAAUCCGAAACCGACUUUAAAAACAAAUGUCACAUAUUAUCUGUGCAAUUUGUUGGUUGUAUUCUGUAAGAAAGAUGAAUCGGUAACUUUAUAGCUUUGCUAUUGGUGAGGUUUUUUUAUGAAGAAGGUCCCGUUAUCUUCUCGUUAUAUACUCGGGCACGUUCGAGUUUCUUCUUUUGGCUGGCUGAAAUUUGGAGACAUGUAGUUGACUUUCAAAACAUUAAAUUUACUUAGAGUCAGUGAUGUAAGAUACUUGGUAAGACUCGAAUUUAUAUUUGGUUAGCAUUCGUGAUUAUCGAAUUUUGUUGUGCUAAAGAGACAAAUUCUUGCAGUUCCGGUCAACCAUAAAAAUUUCCCGUGAGAUGUUAAGAUGGCUACCUACUGGGAACUAGGGCGGGAUAUCCUUUUAAGGAUGGGAAUGUAAUAUAUUCUGAAUUUAACCUAACCUAUAUACGUGACCUAAUGUAAUCACACUUCUUCUUGGUACAACCACGUUAUUAUGUAGAAACGUAAAUUGGUUGUAAACAUUUGAAACGCCGGUUCUGAAACCUUUGGUCAUUCUUGGAACAUUUUUUUUGGAACCUGAGUUGACUAUUACAUUUAAUCAUUUGCACGCGUCGAGUAGCAUGCUGUUAGCGGCGUAAAUCUUGGAGGUUCGCUGGCCGCCAGACAAAAUGGCGGACGGAUGAAUGCAACGGCAAGGUCAGCGACCGCGUGGUGUCAACUUCCAUCAUAAACGUCAGGUCGUACCUAUUCUUUCUUUUGUUAAAUGGAGUCAUGCUAAAACUUCUAUUUUUAUAUAUUGUUUUUUUUAAAUGAUGCGUUACAUUAAUUGUUGGUGGUGAUUCGGAUAAACCGUUCAGAUUACAAUAAGAUUUAGAUAUGAUGAUUGUUUAUGUUGAGAUAACUAGACCUCUUUCGUGAGUGUUUAAAAUGCAACGGGUUUGUUGUCCCUUUAGUAUAAACGUGUGUAAUUGCUAAGCGAACUUAAAUGGAAUCAUCCUUGU